rnacentral:tRNA from 1 species
UGGGGAGUAGCUCAAUCGGCAGAGCAUUCGGCUGUUAACCGAAGGGUUGUGGGUUCGAGUCCCACCUCCCCAG